GAUGAACGCUGGCGGCGUGCCUAAUACAUGCAAGUCGAGCGAACGGACGAGAAGCUUGCUUCUCUGAUGUUAGCGGCGGACGGGUGAGUAACACGUGGAUAACCUACCUAUAAGACUGGGAUAACUUCGGGAAACCGGAGCUAAUACCGGAUAAUAUUUUGAACCGCAUGGUUCAAAAGUGAAAGACGGUCUUGCUGUCACUUAUAGAUGGAUCCGCGCUGCAUUAGCUAGUUGGUAAGGUAACGGCUUACCAAGGCAACGAUGCAUAGCCGACCUGAGAGGGUGAUCGGCCACACUGGAACUGAGACACGGUCCAGACUCCUACGGGAGGCAGCAGUAGGGAAUCUUCCGCAAUGGACGAAAGCCUGACGGAGCAACGCCGCGUGAGUGAUGAAGGUCUUCGGAUCGUAAAACUCUGUUAUUAGGGAAGAACAUAUGUGUAAGUAACUGUGCACAUCUUGACGGUACCUAAUCAGAAAGCCACGGCUAACUACGUGCCAGCAGCCGCGGUAAUACGUAGGUGGCAAGCGUUAUCCGGAAUUAUUGGGCGUAAAGCGCGCGUAGGCGGUUUUUUAAGUCUGAUGUGAAAGCCCACGGCUCAACCGUGGAGGGUCAUUGGAAACUGGAAAACUUGAGUGCAGAAGAGGAAAGUGGAAUUCCAUGUGUAGCGGUGAAAUGCGCAGAGAUAUGGAGGAACACCAGUGGCGAAGGCGACUUUCUGGUCUGUAACUGACGCUGAUGUGCGAAAGCGUGGGGAUCAAACAGGAUUAGAUACCCUGGUAGUCCACGCCGUAAACGAUGAGUGCUAAGUGUUAGGGGGUUUCCGCCCCUUAGUGCUGCAGCUAACGCAUUAAGCACUCCGCCUGGGGAGUACGACCGCAAGGUUGAAACUCAAGGGAAUUGACGGGGACCCGCACAAGCGGUGGAGCAUGUGGUUUAAUUCGAAGCAACGCGAAGAACCUUACCAAAUCUUGACAUCCUUUGACAACUCUAGAGAUAGAGCCUUCCCCUUCGGGGGACAAAGUGACAGGUGGUGCAUGGUUGUCGUCAGCUCGUGUCGUGAGAUGUUGGGUUAAGUCCCGCAACGAGCGCAACCCUUAAGCUUAGUUGCCAUCAUUAAGUUGGGCACUCUAAGUUGACUGCCGGUGACAAACCGGAGGAAGGUGGGGAUGACGUCAAAUCAUCAUGCCCCUUAUGAUUUGGGCUACACACGUGCUACAAUGGACAAUACAAAGGGCAGCGAAACCGCGAGGUCAAGCAAAUCCCAUAAAGUUGUUCUCAGUUCGGAUUGUAGUCUGCAACUCGACUACAUGAAGCUGGAAUCGCUAGUAAUCGUAGAUCAGCAUGCUACGGUGAAUACGUUCCCGGGUCU
rnacentral:rRNA from 1 species